GAUGAACGCUGGCGGCGUGCCUAAUACAUGCAAGUCGAGCGAACGGACGCGAAGCUUGCUUCUCUGAUGUUAGCGGCGGACGGGUGAGUAACACGUGGAUCACCUACCUAUAAGACUGGGAUCACUUCGGGAAACCGGAGCUAAUCCCGGAUAAUAUUUUGAACCGCAUGGUUCAAAAGUGAAAUACGGUCUUGCUGUCACUUAUAGAUGGAUCCGCGCUGCAUUAGCUAGUUGGUAAGGUAACGGCUUACCAAGGCAACGAUGCAUAGCCGACCUGAGAGGGGGGUAGGCCACACGGGAACGUGGCCGAGGACCAGGAGACUAAGGGAGGGCGCAGUAGGGUAUGUUACGCAAUGGGGGGAAACCUUGCAGAAUGAGCGCGAGCGUGGGAUGGAAGUCCUCCGAGCGGAAAACCCUGUUAUUAGGGAAGAACAUAUGUGUAAGUAACUGUGCACAUCGUGACGGUACCUAACCAGAAAGCCCCGGCUAACUACGUG
rnacentral:rRNA from 1 species